GGGGGGGGGGGGGGGUGGGGGUAGCCGGCGGGUGCCAAACAUGCAAGUCGAGCGAAUGGAUUAAGAGCUUGCUCUUAUGAAGUUAGCGGCGGACGGGUGAGUAACACGUGGGUAACCUGCCCAUAAGACUGGGAUAACUCCGGGAAACCGGGGCUAAUACCGGAUAACAUUUUGAACCGCAUGGUUCGAAAUUGAAAGGCGGCUUCGGCUGUCACUUAUGGAUGGACCCGCGUCGCAUUAGCUAGUUGGUGAGGUAACGGCUCACCAAGGCAACGAUGCGUAGCCGACCUGAGAGGGUGAUCGGCCACACUGGGACUGAGACACGGCCCAGACUCCUACGGGAGGCAGCAGUAGGGAAUCUUCCGCAAUGGACGAAGGUCUGCAGGACCACCCCCGCGUGAGUGAUGUAUGCUUUCACUCCAUCCAUCUCUAGUGACAAGAAAAAAUACUACUUAGUUAUGCUGGUCGGCUGCAUUUACGCAACCAGAAAUAAUGCCUAAAUACUUGCAGGAGCCCCGGAUUAGGUAGGUGUCACCGGUUUUCUUGAAAUAUUGGGCGCAAAGGCCCCCCAGCCGGUUUCUUAAUAAUGACAUCGAACCCCCCGCUCAACCGUAGAGGUCUUUGGAAACUUGGAUCAUGAGAACAUAAAAAAAGAAUGGAAUUCCUC
rnacentral:rRNA from 1 species